GACGAACGCUGGCGGCGUGCUUAACACAUGCCAGUCGAACGGAAAGGCCCUGCUUUUGUGGGGUGCUCGAGUGGCGAACGGGUGAGUAACACGUGAGUAACCUGCCCUUGACUUUGGGAUAACUUCAGGAAACUGGGGCUAAUACCGGAUAGGAGCUCCUGCUGCAUGGUGGGGGUUGGAAAGUUUCGGCGGUUGGGGAUGGACUCGCGGCUUAUCAGCUUGUUGGUGGGGUAGUGGCUUACCAAGGCUUUGACGGGUAGCCGGCCUGAGAGGGUGACCGGCCACAUUGGGACUGAGAUACGGCACAGACUCCUACGGGAGGCAGCAGUGGGGAAUAGUGCAAAAUGGGCGGAAGCGUGAUGCAGCAACGCCGCGUGCGGGAUGACGGCCUUCGGGGUGUAAACCGCUUUCGCCUGUGACGAAGCGUGAGUGACGGUAAUGGGUAAAGAAGCACCGGCUAACUACGUG
rnacentral:rRNA from 1 species